CUGGGCAGCCAUAUCAUCCUGCAACUCAUAACUGAUAACCCAGUGAAGGUCAGCAGGUGCGAGCCUGGUCAGUACCUGGAUGGGAGACCUCCUGGGAAAGCUAUGGUUGCUGCUGGAA
rnacentral:rRNA from 1 species